UACGUAGGGGGCAAGCGUUGUCCGGAAUUAUUGGGCGUAAAGCGCGCGCAGGCGGUUAGUUAAGUCUGGUGUUUAAGGCUGAGGCUCAACCUCGGUUCGCAUCGGAAACUGAUUAACUUGAGUACAGAAGAGGAAAGUGGAAUUCCAUGUGUAGCGGUGAAAUGCGUAGAUAUAUGGAGGAACACCAGUGGCGAAGGCGACUUUCUGGGCUGUAACUGACGCUGAGGCGCGAAAGCGUGGGGAGCAAACAGG
rnacentral:rRNA from 2 species